rnacentral:lncRNA from 1 species
CAAAUUAAUAUAAAGUAUUACUACAAAUCAAAUCGUCAACCGCUGCCCUGAUCAGAGAUUGACAGCAGGCUCAGAUCUCUUUCCUGGUAUCAAUUUUCAAUUUUCAAGUUGGACGAGUAUUUUGUUCAAAGAACACUCAGUAUUAUUGUUGAAAAUCGCUUCUUCGACAGGAGGAAACUAAAGAUCUGAUACAGCUGUUAUCUUCUUCAAGUGGCCUGGUUUUAUGUCGUUGUAAAAAUGAUACAUAGCUUGUUUAUUAUCAACCAUUCAGGGUAGGUAUUUGUCAUCAAAUUUGUUAGAUUUUGUCCUGAUUUUAAUGCUCACAUUGAUAUAGUCUGGCGUUAGCUAUCGAUAAAGUCGUUGGUCGAUGUCAAUAUAUAAUGAUUGAUAUCAUUCAGUAGGUUGAUUUUGAAAAUCAAUGAACAAUCAAUGGGGGAGGUUUUUGUGGUUACUGAUUGGUAUUGAUUUUUGAUAACAAUCAAUAGAGUAAUCAUUGAUAACAAUCAACAGGG